rnacentral:rRNA from 1 species
UAACCUGCCUCUUAGCGGGGGAUAACUAUUGGAAACGAUAGCUAAUACCGCAUAAAAGUCGACAUUGCAUGAUGUUGACUUGAAAGGUGCAAUCGCAUCACUAAGAGAUGGACCUGCGUUGUAUUAGCUAGUUGGUGAGGUAACGGCUCACCAAGGCGACGAUACAUAGCCGACCUGAGAGGGUGAUCGGCCACACUGGGACUGAGACACGGCCCAG